AGCAUUUUCGCGCGUAGCGCUUUAAAUUACUGCGCUAUACAUAACUUUUCAGUCAUCACAAUCUUCUUCAUUGUUGAGUUGUUUGGCUAACAAUAUUCCACAAAGCUGUAACCUUUUUACAAAUGUUCAACAGAACUCAAUUCUUACCUCACUUCUUCCAGUCAUCUAAAAAAUACCCACUUGAGAGUUCAACCAUUCUUGGCUCCAAUGACCAAGAGCAAUUCCAAAUACCAUCAUCAAGUGACUCACAGCUCAAAAUGGGUAGUGUUGUUUUGGAAGAUUAUGGCAUGAGCAGCCACAAUCUUGGACAUAAUUUGAGUGAGCUUCCUAAUCUCAUUUCUCCUGAACAUGCUGCAACAACAAGGAACCAGAACAAUAUUAUUCAUAGAUAUAUAAUUGAAAAGAAUAUGUAUAGUGCAAUUUUUUAAAGCGCUAUGCCGGAAAAUUCUAACACCAGCUAUAGCGCGAUUAUUUACCGUGCCAUACUUUAACAGCUAAAACACCAUUAAACUA
rnacentral:lncRNA from 1 species